UCUUAUAUGGACCAUGGUUUGAGCACAUCCAUGGCUGACUGUCCAUGAGAGAAUGGGACAACUUCUUGGUGCUGUACUAUGAAGACAUGAAAAAGUAUACAAAUGGAACCAUAAAGAAGAUCUAUGGCUUCUUAGGGAAAAAAAUUAGGGCCAGAUGAGCUGGAUCUGGUUCUCAAUUACAGCUCCUUCCAAGCCAUGAAAGAAGACAAAAUGUCCAAUUUUAGUCUCUUUAAGGAAGAUAUGGUUACCAAUGGCUUGAACCUCGUGAGAAAAGGCACAACUGGGAACUGGAAGAAUCACUUCACAGUAGCCCAAGCUGAAGCUUUAGAUAAAGUUUUCCAGGAGAAAAUGGUCGGUUUUCCUCAGGCACGUUCCCAUGGAAAUAA
rnacentral:lncRNA from 1 species